CAGUAGCCGCGGGAAUACGUAGGGUGCAAGCGUUAAUCGGAAUUACUGGUCGUAAAGCGUGCGCAGGCGGUUAUAUAAGACAGAUGUGAAAUCCCCGGGCUCAACCUGGGAACUGCAUUUGUGACUGUAUAGCUAGAGUACGGCAGAGGGGGAUGGAAUUCCGCGUGUAGCAGUGAAAUGCGUAGAUAUGCGGAGGAACACCGAUGGCGAAGGCAAUCCCCUGGGCCUGUACUGACGCUCAUGCACGAAAGCGUGGGGAGCAAACAGGAUUAGAUACCCCGGCAGUCCAUGUCUCUUAUAA
rnacentral:rRNA from 1 species